rnacentral:RNase_MRP_RNA from 1 species
UUCGAAGCAGACACACUGAUCCUUGAUUCUAAAUCUUGAGAUCUCAUGCUUUGGGGAAAGUCCUCGAGCUUCCGUCGUAAGGAACACCUGUAGGUGGUUGGAUGAACCAUACAGACUGACUAGGAUGAUAGGCUGCGGCUUAUCUAGUCUAUAGGCUGAUGGUUCAUUGCUGGCUAUAGUAACAGGUAUGCAUUUCUCCCAUCUUUUCGAAGAAGGGUGCACACAACGGGGCUUACUC